GACGAACGCUGGCGGCGUGCCUAAUACAUGCAAGUCGAACGAGUGGCGGACGGGUGAGUAAUGUAUGGGGAUCUGCCUGAUGGAGGGGGAUAACUACUGGAAACGGUAGCUACAACCGCAUACCAUCAGAUGAACCCAUAUGGGAUUAGUUUGUAGGUGGGGUAACGGCUCACGUAGGCGACGAUCCCUAGCUGGUCUGAGAUGAUGAUCCGCCGUACUGGGACUGAUACGCGCCCUAGACUCCUACGGGAGGCAGCUGGUGGGAAUAUUGCACAGUGGGCGCAAGCCUGAUGCAGCCAUGCCGCUUGUAUGAAGAAGGCCUUCGGGUUGUAAAGUACUUUCAGUCGGUAGGCGUUACCGACAGAAGAAGCACCGACUAACUCCGUGCCAGCAGCCGCGGUAAUAC
rnacentral:rRNA from 1 species